CUGAGGUCGGUAAACUCAGGAAGACGGCUGAAGACGAUGCUGAUUUGAGCCAAAGCAAGGAAUCAGAUUCAUAGAGAUCUGGAUCCAGAUUCAGUUCCUAUUUCAUCCUGGACCUGUGGCCACUAGAAGCCCUGAGAUGUGCUUCUUAGGUACUCUGGAACUGGCUUACCAGUAUUUAGAAGGGCACAUCAUUGUGAGCCAGAAUGACAGAGGGCUCAAAA